UUAACUCAAAUUUGUAUGGAGUUGGAAAGGCUGUCUACGCUUCCCACUAGGGCCGCUAUUCCAACUGCAUACAAAUUUAAGUUA
rfam:Bombyx mori DNA, contig: Bm_scaf6_contig5317, strain: p50T/Dazao, build 2, whole genome shotgun sequence.